rnacentral:rRNA from 1 species
AAUAGUCAAUUAUGUGUCUCCGUUAGAGACUACUAUUGCUACAAGUUUCAAAUGCGUCGUGGUGUAUUUAACACCAUGCUAUACGGUAAACGACUAUUCCAACAAUAUGUGGUUGAUAUGUACAUCAAGGUUGAAACCUCAAGACUGGACUAUAUAAAAAAACACCAGAAACAAAUACGUGCUGAUCUAUACCAAGGUGUUGUUGAUAGCCUUCAAGCUGGGGAAUACCGUGCGGAUGCAGUGGGCAAACGGACUAUAGUUCCUUCAUCAUUUAUUGGAGGGAGAAGAGAUAGGAGACGAAUAUACCUUGAUGCCAUGGCCUUGGUUCAAAAGUAUGGGAAGCCAGACAUUUUUUAA